ACUUUAUCAUAUUAGUCAACAUCAUUGAAUUUGUAUAUUAGAAAGCUUAACCAUUUCUGCUAUUUUUAUUGUGUUGAAUAGUCUGGCUAAAACAAGUGGCAAAAUAAGGAACCAGACGGGAAUUUUUGACCAAAAAGUCAUGUCACUAAUCUUAUUAAAAUAUAAAUAUGUAAAUGGUAUUUUGGUUUUCUACGACAAGCAAGAAGCCCACCUUCCUUGACUGAAAUGCUACAAGCGACUACCCGAGAAGCUAUUAAAAAUGAACAUUAAAAUCAUUUUAAUUUUGGCUUCUCGAAUAAACGUAGUAUAGCUUCAGUUCAGAGGAUUGAAAGUUUUGGAACUGUGAGUCCCCGAGAGAAAAUUAACAAAUAAAUUAGUCCAAGUCAUAGUUGUUAGUAUAGUUCGAUACAAGAUACAUAAACAUUUUAGAUAUAAAACUAUAGGUACUUUUUAAGUGUAUUGAAAAUUACACUGUAUCAUUCGAUACAUGAUAUAUUUCAUAUCAAUACAUACGAUAUGGAGACGUAUGAUACCUUAAAAUUUAACCAAAACAACUACAUCGUAGGUAAAAUUGUCCUAGUUUAGUGUAAAUAUGGGUUGAUAUAUAAGAAAUAAUAAGUGUGGAUUUAUUGACAUCUCUGAAUGAAGAUUAUGAUGCCAUAAAAAAUGAUCUAAAACUGAAAGUUUUAAUGUUUAAAAAGUUUAUAGAACUUUUAUAUGAUUUAAUAAUGAUGUUCAUAGUUCAUAGUUUACCAUAUUAAUUCUUUUAUCUAUGUUUAAGAGAUAUAUAUAUAUAUAUAUAUAUAUUUUAAGCAAAUUACGGUUGAAAAGCAUAUUAUAUAAUAUGCAACAUGUCACGAUAUACGAUACACUUUUUUCACAAAAUGAUAUAUGUUACAAUACACGUUUUGACAACUAUUUUCCGAGCAGUUUGCCAAUUUUCGGUGCCAAAGGCUUCCCAUGUUUUAUACCAUUCCAAAGUUUAAAAAGCCCAAACCAUCUGGAGUUGCAUUGGAUUUGAAAAACGGACUCACUUAUCCUUUAACUCCAACCAGUUUGUCCACAACAUGGAGGCCAAGAAGCUCUUUCAUCAGCUGUAACAGAAGACAAUGGUAAGGAAGACUGGGAAGAAAUACUAUGAAUUGCUUGGCGUUUCUUUUGAUUCAGAAACUCUGGAAAUUAAACAGGCUUUGUAAAAAAAUUGCAAAAGAAGCACCACCCAGAUAUUGCAGGUCAAGAGGUCUUUUAAUAGAAUAGAAACUCCGUAUGUUUAAGAAUAGUUUAGUUCAUGAUUUUAAACUGCAGUUUAUAUGGGUGAUUUUUGCUUUGUUUAGAAUUACGAGCAUACUCUAAUGCAGAAUGAAGCCUGUAAGGUUCUAAUGAUGGAAGACUUGAGGAGGAAAUAUGAUGCUUCCAUUGGUCAUAUGAGAGCAUUCUUCAGCAAAUACAUGUCUUGUUUGGUUAUAGCUCAUGGAAUGGAUCCUUAAGAGAUCCCAAGCUUAAUUUGUGGAUGAAAAUGCAUGCAUAGGUCAAUACCAUAACCAACAAUUCAGGGUCCCCCCCCCACCAAAAACCAUUUUGUUCUCUAAGCUUUAUUCUUCCUCUCUUCUGCAACUUAAUCCUUGACAGGUUGCAGAGAAUGUAUGCACCAUACAAGCAACACAUUUAUGAAGGACCAAGUUCUUGGAUGCGCAGGGUUAAAGUACAAAAUGGAGACAACAAACCAAAGCUUGAGGUAAAACUACACAAAACAAAGUCCAUGUAAUAUUUUUAUCUUCUUCUGAGAAUUGUCUAAUUGAAUGACUCAAAAAACUUACAGGUAUCAGUAGAU